GCCGGGAUGCCCGAGUGGACAAAGGGAGCAGACUGUAAAUCUGCCGGCAACGCCUUCGGAGGUUCAAAUCCUUCUCCCGGCA
rnacentral:tRNA from 2 species